GUGGGUAUAGCUUAGUUGGUUAAAGCGCCAGAUUGUGGCUCUGGAGAUCGAGAGUUCGAAUCUCUUUAUCCACC
rnacentral:tRNA from 1 species